rnacentral:ncRNA from 1 species
GAAAGCCGUAUUCGAUGAAAGUCGUAUGUACGGCUUGGAGGGAUGUAACGCCCACGAUGCGGCUAUAUCUCCCAC